rnacentral:lncRNA from 1 species
ACCACUCCCUAGCAUAAAAUAGCAGCAGCAGCAUCUGCCUUAAGAAACUUUUUUAAUGAUCUGGAAACACAGUAUUUGCUUAUCCUAUUUUGUCCAGGAAAUUUCUUAUCUCUCCAAUCACUAGGUAUUCUGUGAUGAUUUGACUACUUAGCAUCUGAAUUCCUGUCUCUGUGCCUAGGAGCUAAUCUUUGUAAAUCACAUCCUAUCUCUGGAAUUUUGCUUCUUUUAUUCUAAAAUAAAAGGCAAAACUAGCUGAUGUCCAAAAAGCCACCUAUCUCAAGUGUUUCAAGAUUCCUAGAAAACAAAGUCCUUAAGUUUUCAGAGUCAUUGAUUAUUUCAUGAUUUUCAGGAUGUAACUCUUUGGGACUUGAAAGACUUAGGUCACUGGUGCAUAAGUUGACUAAAAAUUAUACUUUGUGCACUAUUGGAUAGAAUUUUCAGCAUGGUUUGGAAUGGCUUCAACUUUCUGUUUUGUUCUUCUCUUUAAGGCAUUUCAAUCAUUUUGCU